rnacentral:snoRNA from 1 species
AUAUGAUGAUUUUUUUAGAUGACGAGUCUUAUCCGCGUUAGCGAUGCAGACAACAUAAAAUAUAAUUCCAUUCAUGCAUUCCUGAUC